AUUGAACGCUGGCGGCAUGCCUUACACAUGCAAGUCGAACGGCAGCACGGGAGCAAUCCUGGUGGCGAGUGGCGAACGGGUGAGUAAUAUAUCGGAACGUGCCCAGUCGUGGGGGAUAACGUAGCGAAAGCUACGCUAAUACCGCAUACGAUCUAUGGAUGAAAGCGGGGGAUCGCAAGACCUCGCGCGAUUGGAGCGGCCGAGAUCAGAUUAGGUAGUUGGUGAGGUAAAGGCUCACCAAGCCGACGAUCUGUAGCUGGUCUGAGAGGACGACCAGCCACACUGGGACUGAGUCACGGCCCAGACUCCUACGGGAGGCAGCAGUGGGGAAUUUUGGACAAUGGGCGCAAGCCUGAUCCAGCAAUGCCGCGUGCAGGAUGAAGGCCUUCGGGUUGUAAACUGCUUUUGUACGGAACGAAACGGCGAGCUCUAAUACAGUUUGCUAAUGACGGUACCGUAAGAAUAAGCACCGGCUAACUACGUGCCAGCCGCCGCCGUAA
rnacentral:rRNA from 1 species